AUAUAUAUAAAUAAAGAACAAAAAAUAAUUUAUAUAAAUAUAUAAAUAUAUAUAUAAAAAAUUGUAAUAGACAUACCGAUUGUAGACCUACUUGUGUGUCUACGGAACCGGAAACAAUUUAAUUUAACCAAAAUAAUAUAAUCUAACAAGUAUUAAACCAGAAAAGUUUUAACCUAACCGGAUAACUUUCCCGACAUAUAAAUACAAUUUUUAGUCUUCAUUUGGUAAAAAAAGACAAACCCUAGCGGCCGUUACUCUCUCUCUCUCUCUCUCUCGGGCGAUUUCCGGUGAAGUCAACCCGUUUCUGCCGCUUACACUGGUUGCCGUCCCGCUGCUGCUGCUAUAUCUUCCCUCUGUAAGAUCUGAGCCGGCGAAGGAACAUUGUGUAUGUAUGUCUCUCUAUCCAACUGUUGAGCUUUUGAAGGGCUUGAGAAAGAAGAGGGCCACCUCAAAACAACUAAUCACAACAAUAUUGUAACUUCAGCUCGUAAUAUUCACUGAACUUGAUAGUUAAUCCUUGGAGUUUUCCCUUGACAUUUCUAGUCUGAUUUUUCCUUGCAGGUUCAACUUCUCUACUCUUUUCAAGAGAAAUCAUGAGUAGGCUAUAAGCAAUCUAGCUAGAGUAGUGAUGAUUCUUCUGCCAUAACCGGCAUUGACAGCUUGCUGGCAAGUGAGGUGCCUAUCGGUUAUCAGGCUGGGACUUUCACUUUAGAGGACUGACCUACAGUCCUGGCAUGGCUCGGUCUAGGCGUUUAAGAGAGAUUCUCCACCGGUUGUAGACUUCAAUAGCGAUCUUGAAACUCUCUGAGACGAGAAAAUUGCAAGAAGGCGGAAGCUUUGUAUCCACUGUCAAUACUGUAUCACAACCAACUGUUACGGACAUUGCAGCAUCAGUAUGUCUAUGGAGUUCUUGUAUUUUAAGCCAUGGCCACAUUCAUUGGCCAAGUCUAUGUUCUAUCGUUGAUUGCACUCUUUGUGGCCGCUUCAACUGCCCUGAUUGUGCAACCAUUUUUUGGCUAGAAUUGGAGGAUAUGAAGUUUUUGGUAAUAGGUGUUUGUAUUAUAUGCCUUUGUACUAGCUAUAUUGUAUUGUGCUUUUGUAUCACUGCUGUAUUAUGUAAUUUUCUUGGAUAUUCUGUACUGAAGUGUACUCGACCGAAAGUAGACUUGUUUAAUACAACUCCAAAUGAAUACAUCAAAGUUAAGACUCA